rnacentral:rRNA from 1 species
CACCAGGUUGAUUCUGCCUGACGUAGACGCUUGCCUUAAGGAUUAAGCCAUGCAAGCCAGCGAAGGUAACGGAGCGGCGAACGGCUCAGUAGGACAGGGACAUCUGACCAUUGUACAGGAUAACCGCGGUAAUCUGUGGCUAAUACUAUAGUGGGUGAGACCCUGGCCUAUCAGCUUGGCGGUACGGUAAGUGCGUACCGUGGCGACGACGGGUAGCGGGGGAAUCGGGGUUUGAUUCCGGAGAGGGAGCCUGAGAGAUGGCUGCCACGUCCAAGGACGGCAGCAGGCGCGGAACUUACCCACUUGGAGGACCAGAGGUAGUGACGAGGCGUUUUAAAUGAGAACAGUGUAAAAAGCUGAUUGAAAGCUACUGGAGGGCAAGUCUGGUGCCAGCAGCCGCGG